rnacentral:rRNA from 1 species
UACGUAGGGAGCAAGCGUUGUCCGGAAUCAUUGGGCGUAAAGCGCGCGUAGGUGGCUUCGUAAGUCCGUUGUGAAAGUCAAAGGCUCAACCUUUGAAAGCCGAUGGAUACUGCGGAGCUAGAGUACGGAAGAGGCGAGUGGAAUUCCUGGUGUAGCGGAGGAAUGCGCAGAUAUCGGGAGGAACACCAGUGGCGAAGGCGGAACUCUGGGCCGGAACUGACGCUGAGGAGCGAAAGCGUGGGGAGCGAACAGG